rnacentral:rRNA from 1 species
CCUACGGGAGGCAGCAGUCGAGAAUCAUUCACAAUGGGGGAAACCCUGGUGGUGCGACGCCGCGUGGGGGAAUGAAGGUCUUCGGAUUGUAAACCCCUGUCAUGUGGGAGCAAAUUAAAAAGAUAGUACCACAAGAGGAAGAGACGGCUAACUCUGUGCCAGCAGCCGCGGUAAUACAGAGGUCUCAAGCGUUGUUCGGAAUCACUGGGCGUAAAGCGUGCGUAGGCUGUUUCGUAAGCCGUGUGUGAAAGGCGCGGGCUCAACCCGCGGACGGCACAUGAUACUGCGAGACUAGAGUAAUGGAGGGGGAACCGGAAUUCUCGGUGUAGCAGGGAAAUGCGUAGAUAUCGAGAGGAACACUCGUGGCGAAGGCGGGUGCCUGGACAUUAACUGACGCUGAGGCACGAAGGCCAGGGGAGCGAAAGGGAUUAGAUACCCGUGUAGUC